rnacentral:misc_RNA from 1 species
UCUAAUCUUCUCUUGGUGCUUGUGAAGUGCAAAAUAGUAUCAAAGAAACAUGAUGCUUGCAUUUUUUGCAAAGAAAUUGGGCCAUUCUCAUGCCCAAGUUGGAAGGGAAAGAAUAUCCCACCUUUCCUGCUUUCCUUCCAGGCAUCCAGUAUUUCAUUUGCUGAUGGCAAAUUAGAUGCAUGAGAAUCAUCAAUUUGAUUUAUGGGUAUUUCAUAUUCCAUCUGAUCAAAAUCUUGGAAAGGUCCAUCUAAAUGAUCAGCAGAUGAACCAGAUGCCACAUCAUUAACAAAAGCCUCCAUGCUUGUAUAGUUGGCUAUUCCAUCUUGGUCAAUACUGGAGCAGUUUUGUGAGCUAGAGAUCUCAUAUCUAUCCUCACCACCCUCUCUGCCAGUACUGUAGUG